UAAAAUUUAUUAACUAUUAAUAUUAAUAUAUAUUUAUAUAAGAAUAUUUUAUAAAAAUCAUUUAUUUGUUGUUGUAUUUGUUAUGGAUUUAAUUAAAUAUAGUUAUAAUUAAUUAGUACUGUGAAGGAAAAUUAAGUUUAAUUAAUGUAUAUUAAUUUAUAAGUUGAAUUAUUUAUUUGUACCUUGUGUAUCAGGGUUAAUUAAUAAUUAUUUAUUUAUAUUAAUUUUCUCGAUUUCUUUAGAGUUAAUGAAUUAUAUUAGUUAUUGUAAAAGAAAUAUUAAUAAUAAUUUAUUGGGAGUGAAAUGUUAAUCGUUAAUGAGGAUAUCUAGUUUUUUAGGAAAUAAGUUGAAUUUAAAUUUUUUCUUUAAUUAUUUUCUUUGAAAUUAAUUUUAAGUUAAAAUUAAUAAUAAAGGGGAUAAGCUCUUUAUUAUAUAUUUAUAAGAUUUGUUUAUAUAUAAGAUUAUAUGGAUUUAAUAGUUAUUAUUAUUUUAAGUAUGUUAAAGUAUUAUUUUUUUAUAUAAGGAUUUUUUUUUCUUUAGAAUUUUACUGAAAUUUUUUGAUUAAUUAUUUAUUAAUUGGGAUUAUGAUUAAAUUAGUAUAUUUAUAAUUUAUAUUAUUUUAUAAUGUUAAGUUAUUUUGAGGAACUAGGCAAUUUAUUUUUCGCCUGUUUAACAAAAACAUCUCUUCUUGUUUAUUUAAGAGGUAUAACCUGCCCAAUGAUAUAUUUAAUGGCCGCAGUAUACUGACUGUGCAAAGGUAGCAUAAUCAUUAGUCUUUUAAUUGAAGGCUGGAAUGAAUGGUUGGACGAGACAAUAACUAUCUUAAUUUAAUUUUUGUUUGAAUUUAAUUUUUGAGUUAAAAAGCUUAAAUAGUUUUUUGGGACGAGAAGACCCUAUAGAGUUUUAUAUUUAUAAAAAUUUUAUUGGGUUUGUAAAUAGGUGAAUUUUUAUAGGUAUUUCAUUGGGGUGAUGGGAAGAUAAAAUAAACUCUUUUUAUUAUUUGUUUAUAAAUUUGUAUAAAAAUGAUCCACAAUUAGUGAUUAUAAGACUAAAUUACCUUAGGGAUAACAGCGUAAUCUUUUUUAAGAGUUCAUAUCGACAAUAAGGAUUGCGACCUCGAUGUUGGAUUAAGAUUAUCUUUAGGUGCAGAAGCUUAAAAAUUAGGUCUGUUCGACCUUUAAAAUCUUACAUGAUCUGAGUUCAAACCGGCGUGAGCCAGGUUGGUUUCUAUCUAAUAUAAUUUAAAAUAUUUUAGUACGAAAGGACCAAAUAUUUAAAAUAAUUUUUAAUUAUUGAUUAUUAUUAAUAU
rnacentral:rRNA from 1 species